UAUCAGGAUUCGACUAAGCCAUGCGAGGCGCGAGCUAUCUGGGCUCGCCGAACUGCUCAGUAACACGUAGUUAACCUACUCUUAGGUGUGGGAUAAUCCUGGGAAACUGGGGCUAAUACCACAUAAUCACUUGAGGCUGGAAUGCGCAAGUGACAAAAGCUCCGGCGCCUAAGAAUGGGACUGCGGCCUAUCAGGUAGUAGCGAGUGUAAGAUACUCACUAGCCUGUAACGGGUAGGGGCCAUGAGAGUGGAAGCCCCGAGUUGCAUUCUGAGACAUGAAUGCAGGUCCUACGGGACGCAGCAGGCGCGAAACCUUUCCAAUUCGUUAGCGCGUGAGAGGGGAAUCCUGAGUGGUUAUGCAAAGCAUAACCUUUUCUUUAGUCUAGAGAGCUAGAGGAAUAAGUGGUGGGCAAGACAGGUGCCAGCCGCCGCGGUAAUACMUGCGCCACGAAUGGUGAUCACGAUUAUUGGGUCUAGAGCGUCCGUAGCCGGUCAAAUAAGUUUCUGGUGAAAUCUGGCAGCUAACUGUCAGGCGUGCUGGAAAUACUAUUAGACUUGGGACCGGGAGAGGAGUGAGGUAUUCCAUGUGUAGGGGUUAAAUCCUUUAAUCCAUGGAGGACCGCCGGUGGCGAAGGCGUCACUCUGGAACGGGUCCGACGGUGAGGGACGAAAGCGUGGGGAGCAAAUGGGAUUAGAUACCCCAGUAGUCCACGCUGUAAACGAUGCCCGUUUGGUGUCGCGAAUCUCAAGGGGGUUUGCGGUGCCGGAGCGUAGGUGUUAAACGGGCCACCUGGGGACUACGUCCGCAAGGAUGAAACUUAAGGGAAUUGGCGGGGGAGCACACAAGGGGUGGAGGCUGCGGUUCAAUUGGAUUC
rnacentral:rRNA from 1 species